rnacentral:rRNA from 1 species
GAUGAACGCUGGCGGCGUGCCUAAUACAUGCAAGUCGAGCGAACAGACGAGGAGCUUGCUCCUCUGAAGUUAGCGGCGGACGGGUGAGUAACACGUGGAUAACCUACCUAUAAGACUGGGAUAACUUCGGGAAACCGGAGCUAAUACCGGAUAAUAUAUUGAACCGCAUGGUUCAAUAGUGAAAGACGGUUUUGCUGUCACUUAUAGAUGGAUCCGCGCCGCAUUAGCUAGUUGGUAAGGUAACGGCUUACCAAGGCAACGAUGCGUAGCCGACCUGAGAGGGUGAUCGGCCACACUGGAGCUGAGACACGGUCCAGACUCCUACGGGAGGCAGCAGUAGGGAAUCUUCCGCAAUGGGCGAAAGCCUGACGGAGCAACGCCGCGUGAGUGAUGAAGGUCUUGGGAUCGUAAAACUCUGUUAUUAGGGAAGAACAAAUGUGUAAGUAACUAUGCACGUCUUGACGGUACCUAAUCAGAAAGCCACGGCUAACUACGUG